AACGAACGCUGGCGGCAUGCCUAACACAUGCAAGUCGAACGAGACCUUCGGGUCUAGUGGCGCACGGGUGCGUAACGCGUGGGAACCUGCCCUUAGGUUCGGAAUAACUCCCCGAAAGGGGUGCUAAUACCGGAUAAUGUCUUCGGACCAAAGAUUUAUCGCCUUUGGAUGGGCCCGCGUUGGAUUAGCUAGUUGGUAGGGUAAAAGCCUACCAAGGCGACGAUCCAUAGCUGGUCUGAGAGGAUGAUCAGCCACACUGGGACUGAGACACGGCCCAGACUCCUACGGGAAGCAGCAGUGGGGAAUAUUGGACAAUGGGCGAAAGCCUGAUCCAGCAAUGCCGUGUGAGUGAUGAAGGCCUUAGGGUUGUAAAGCUCUUUUACCCGGGAUGAUAAUGACAGUACCGGGAGAAUAAGCUCCGGCUAACUCCGUG
rnacentral:rRNA from 1 species